AAGGUUCUAGCUUAAUUAAAGUAUUUGAGUUGCAUUCAAAGGAUGCAGGUUAAUAUCCUGCGAAUCUUA
rnacentral:tRNA from 1 species